AUGCUCACAAGGGCGCAGUGGGUCGCUUUGUCAAAGGAAAAGCAAGGCGGAUCCACGAGCAGCAGCAAGAAGAAGGGGAAGCAGCGAUCGGCGAGAAAGAACUUUGCCGACUCGGACGAUGAGGCUGCACCACCGAGGAGAAAGUUUGACAUAAGCAAAGUGAGGUGUUAUAACUGUGGCCUCCUCGGUCACUUCAAGGCUGACUGCGAGGAAGCACCGAAGCAGAAGGCGCUCAUUGCCCAGCAAGGAGAUGAUGGUGACAUGAUGUUGAUGUGUAAACUGGUGGACGAGGAGGAUCCAGAUUCUCAAGCGUUGACUAAAGAAAUUGUCGAGCUUGCGGAAGAAAAAGUUUUCCAUCAUGAUCGUGAUUCGGAAACCUGUGUCGAAGCUACAGAUGCGGGGAGUGAUUCUAAAACUUAUGUCAGUGCUAUGGACGAUUGA
rnacentral:rRNA from 1 species